AGCUGCAAAAGGCAGGUCCCAAGAAGGAGAGGGUCUGUUCCCCCAUGGUUCCCUCCUGCUUCUUGGUGGCCAUGCUGGCCCCUAUGGUGUUGGCUCUGGAACAGUCCCCAGACACAGUCAUACACCAAGGCCAGUCCGUCAAUCUCAGCUGUUCCAAGAAGAAAUCCACCAGCACAGUUCUAUUUUGGUACAAGCUGCCUUUGGGGAAGGACUCCAGGCUGAUCCUCGUAGUUUCUGCAUUCGUAGGUGGGAAAGCAGAUGUGGAGGUGGAUUUCCAAAGCCAUUUGAAGAGCAGUGGGAUAGAAGGAGACGGGAUGACCCUCUCCAUAGAGCAUGCCUUUCUCAAUGACUCUGGCACGUAUUUCUGUGCUGAGAGUGAAACACAGUGGCUGGGCUGCUGA